AUUGAACGCUGGCGGCAUGCUUUACACAUGCAAGUCGAACGGUAACAGGCCGCAAGGUGCUGACGAGUGGCGAACGGGUGAGUAAUGCAUCGGAACGUGCCCAGUCGUGGGGGGAUAACGCAGCGAAAGCUGCGCUAAUACCGCAUACGAUCUAUGGAUGAAAGCGGGGGACCGUAAGGCCUCGCGCGAUUGGAGCGGCCGAUGUCAGAUUAGGUAGUUGGUGGGGUAAAGGCUCACCAAGCCAACGAUCUGUAGCUGGUCUGAGAGGACGACCAGCCACACUGGGACUGAGACACGGCCCAGACUCCUACGGGAGGGCAGCAGUGGGGAAUUUUGGACAAUGGGCGCAAGCCUGAUCCAGCAAUGCCGCGUGCAGGAAGAAGGCCUCGGGUUGUAACUAGCUUUGUACGGGUAAGAAACGAACUACCUUCGUCGUAAGGAGCUUGACGGUACCGUAAGAAUAAGGAAUCGGCUAACUCCGUGCCAGCAGCCGCGGUAAACG
rnacentral:rRNA from 1 species